rnacentral:tRNA from 1 species
GCAGUGGUUGUUCAAUGGUAGAAUUCUCACCUUUCACGCGAGAGACCCAGGUUCAAUUCCCACCCAAGGCA